CCUACGGGAGGCUGCAGUGGGGAAUUUUGGACAAUGGGGGCAACCCUGAUCCAGCCAUUCCGCGUGAGUGAAGAAGGCCUUCGGGUUGUAAAGCUCUUUCAGCAGGAACGAAACGGUGGCUACUAAUACUAGCUACUAAUGACGGUACCUGAAGAAGAAGCACCGGCUAACUACGUGCCAGCAGCCGCGGUAAUACGUAGGGUGCGAGCGUUAAUCGGAAUUACUGGGCGUAAAGCGUGCGCAGGCGGUUAUGUAAGACAGGUGUGAAAUCCCCGGGCUUAACCUGGGAACUGCGCUUGUGACUGCAUAACUCGAGUGUGGCAGAGGGGGGUGGAAUUCCACGUGUAGCAGUGAAAUGCGUAGAGAUGUGGAGGAACACCGAUGGCGAAGGCAGCCCCCUGGGUCAACACUGACGCUCAUGCACGAAAGCGUGGGGAGCAAACAGGAUUAGAUACCCCUGUAGUC
rnacentral:rRNA from 1 species